rnacentral:lncRNA from 1 species
ACUGCUAUGUAGGCAAGGCUAACCUGGAACUCCUUCCCGUUCCUCCGACAUCACCUUCUCCUUUGAAGCAUGCAUCAGAGCCAUUCACCAUCAAGCCCGGCUCCAUAUAUUCUGUGACCUCCAGUAUCUUGGUCCCACAUAGCUCAGGGUGAAGAGCUGAGUAAUCCUGAACCUGGGGCUGCUGCCGGAACAACCUUUCACACAGUGCCCACUGCUCCCGGUUGCACAACAUGUUUGACUGCGAGAGAUAAACGCCAGGUUUACAUUUGACUCCAGUCACCUUCGGGGCCAGCAGCCGGAGCCUGUAAACAGCACCCACUCCUUUAGAAAGGCGCGACUUUCCCAAAGUCCUGCCUUCCGAGCGCUGCGCCAGGCUGGGAGGAGGUGGACAAGGAAGGGGAGUAUUCCAAAGAAAAAGGAGGCUACAAGCAAGCUCUCGACUCUGUUUAGGAAGAAAAGGAAGAGCCGAGCUGAAGCAUUGGCCCUGCGGGGGGUGGGGGUGGGGCUCAUUUUGUGAACUGGAAUUUAAGAACUAAAACUAGUCCCCCUAACGUGUUUCUGUUUACCCAUCAGAAAUCAAUCUCUGAUUGGAGCAGGUACUUUUUCCUCCGUAAAACAGGCCAAAGAGGAAACGGAACUGUCUUAGUACUAAAAUAAUCUGUAAUUUAAUUGAUGUUGCAUGUUAGGCUUAUUGAAGACACCACUAUGAGAAGAUUCUGUGCUUUGUUUUCUGACACUGAAAACUGCAGGGUGGGGGCGAGAAAAAUCCCCCCACGACUUCACACAGGUUAUAGGAGGAAAACUAAUAGUCGAGAAGGAGGGAUUUCAGUGGAUUCUUUCAAGAAUAAACAUGUCUUACUCAGAUCUUGAAGCCUGUGACUAUCGAGUACAUCUAAGUACAUCGAGUUCCUUCUGUUGGUUGAAGCUAGGUUUGCUGCGUCUUGAGUCCAGAUGGAACAAUGACACUAAGACAAAGCCUUAAGCAAUUUUGUUUGCUAAUAAGAUGUCAGACCACUAAUGAAAGGGCAGCUUGCUUUGGCUUAGGAGAGCAAGCUUCCCAUAGAAAGCAGCUCCUAAGUGUGAAAGAGCAAUAUUUGAUUCCCUUCCUCCCUAGUGGUAAAAAAGAUGUUUUUGAGUGGCUAGCAGAGAGGAAGAGAAGGCUAGCCGUCUACUGAUAAGAUAGGAUCAUAGGAACAUUUGUUUGGUUUUGCUUUGCAGAUGGGGACUGAAGCCAGGGAAGCUUGCCUGCUAGGCAAGCACGCUGUCACUGAAUUAUCCCUCCCCACCCCCACCCCUCCGGCCCACAUAGGGAAAAUUCUGUAGUCGUUAAGAUCGCUGUCGGUCCAGCUGCCCUUCUCCAAGACUGAGUAAGACAUUGUGAGCUCUUUAAGAAGGAGAAUCACUUCAUAGUUAAAUUAUGCUCAUGGACAUUACACGUGCCCGUUCAUUAAUAUUUAGGGAACACACCGGCCUCAGCAGUUCCAAACACCUGAGUAUAGACAAUGCUUCUUCCAAUGUGGACAGGAGUAAAACACCAAAGUUCAUCUUCUGAAUAAUGAACCACCAGCUUCAGAGUGUAAAUGCUGCCUCCUCCAGAGGCUAAGGGCCUCUCUUCCCAACCCUACUCCCCUCUAUUCUCCCACUUCCUUCUCCC